rnacentral:rRNA from 1 species
ACGUAAGUGGCGAGCGUUAUCCGGAAUGACUGUGCGUAAAGCGUUCGUAGGCGGCUUGGUAAGUCGGAUUUGAAAGCCCGGGGCUCAACUCCGGAUCUGGAUCCGAAACUAUCAGGCUGGAGCGGAUCAGAGGGCAGUGGAAUUCCCGGUGUAGGGGUGAUAUGCGUAGAUAUCGGGAGGAACACCAGUGGCGAAGGCGGCUACCUGGAGUGAUACUGACGCUGAAGAACGAAAGCCAGGGGAGCGAACGG